UACAGAGGUCUCGAGCGUUGUUCGGAUUCAUUGGGCGUAAAGGGUGCGUAGGUGGCGCUGUAAGUCGGUGUGAAAUCCUGGGCUUAACCCCGGAACUGCAUUCGAUACUGCAGUGCUUGAGGACUGGAGAGGAGACUGAAUUCAUGGUGUAGCAGUGAAAUGCGUAGAGAUCAUGAGGAAGACCAGUGGCGAAGGCGGGUCUCUGGACAGUUCCUGACACUGAGGCACGAAGGCCAGGGGAGCAAACGGG
rnacentral:rRNA from 1 species